AUACGUAGGGGGCAAGCGUUAUCAGGAUUUACUGGGUGUAAAGGGAGCGUAGACGGUUUGGCAAGUCUGAAGUGAAAGCUCGGGGCUCAACCCCGGAACUGCUUUGGAAACUGUCGAACUGGAGUGCAGGAGAGGUAAGCGGAAUUCCUAGUGUAGCGGUGAAAUGCGUAGAUAUUAGGAGGAACAACAGAGGCGAAGGCGGCUGACUGUACUGUAACUGACUUUGAGUCUCGAAGGCGUGGGGAGCAAACAGGAUUAGAUACCCUGGUAGUCCACGCGGUAAACGAUUAUCACUAGGUGUUUGCACGCAUAGCGUUGCGGUGCCGCAGCAAACGCAAUAAGUGAUCCACCUGGGGAGUACGUUCGCAAGAAUGUACCUCAAAAUAAUUGGCGGG
rnacentral:rRNA from 1 species